rnacentral:rRNA from 1 species
UACGUAGGGACCAAGCGUUGUUCGGAGUUACUGGGCGUAAAGGGCGCGUAGGCGGCGCACCAAGUCAGGCGUGAAAGCCCUGGGCUCAACCCGGGAAUUGCGCUUGAGACUGGUGUGCUCGAGUACGGGAGAGGAUAGUGGAAUUCCCAGUGUAGAGGUGAAAUUCGUAGAUAUUGGGAAGAACACCGGUGGCGAAGGCGGCUA